rnacentral:rRNA from 1 species
GUCUACGGCCAUGCCACCCUGAACACGCCUGAUCUCGUCUGAUCUUGGAAGCUAAGCAGGAUUGGGUGGGCCUGCUUAGUACUUGGAUGGAAGACCACUUAGAAAUACCAGGUGCUGUAGGUG